GGAUGUAGCUCAGCGGUACAGCACCUGCCUGGUAAGCAUGAGGCCCUGAGUUUGAUUCUCAGUACCAACA
rnacentral:tRNA from 1 species